rnacentral:rRNA from 1 species
GACGAACGCUGGCGGCGUGCCUAAUACAUGCAAGUAGAACGCUGAAGGAGGAGCUUGCUUCUCCGGAUGAGUUGCGAACGGGUGAGUAACGCGUAGGUAACCUGCCUGGUAGCGGGGGAUAACUAUUGGAAACGAUAGCUAAUACCGCAUAACAGUAGACGUUGCAUGACAUUUGCUUAAAAGGUGCAAUUGCAUCACUACCAGAUGGACCUGCGUUGUAUUAGCUAGUUGGUGAGGUAACGGCUCACCAAGGCGACGAUACAUAGCCGGCCUGAGAGGGUGAUCGGCCACACUGGGACUGAGACACGGCCCCGGAUCCUUCGGGAGGCAGCAGUAGGGAAUCUUCGGCAAUGGACGGAAGUCUGACCGAGCAACGACGCGUGAGUGAAGAAGGGUUUCGGAUCGUAAAGCUCUGUUGUAAGAGAAGAACGAGUGUGAGAGUGGAAAGUUCACACUGUGACGGUAUCUUACCAGAAAGGGACGGCUAACUACGUG